rnacentral:rRNA from 1 species
AUUGAACGCUAGCGGGAUGCCUUACACAUGCAAGUCGAACGGAGUGGCGAACGGGUGAGUAAUGUAUCGGAACGUGCCCAGUAGCGGGGGAUAACUACGCGAAAGCGUAGCUAAUACCGCAUACUAUUGGAGCGGCCGAUAUCGGAUUCGCUAGUUGGUGGGGUAACGGCUCACCAAGGCGACGAUCCGUAGCUGGUUUGAGAGGACGACCAGCCACAUUGGGACUGAGACAAGGCCCAGAAUCCUACGGGAGGCAUCGGUGGGGAAUUUUGGACAUUGGGUGAAACCCUGAUCCAGCCAUACCGCGUGUGCGAUGAAGGCCGUCGGGUUGUAAAGCACUUUUAGCAGGAAAGCGGUACGAGAAGAAUAAGCACCUGCUAACUACGUGCCAGCAGCCGAUGUAAUAC